rnacentral:rRNA from 1 species
GAUGAACGCUGGCGGCGUGCCUAAUACAUGCAAGUCGAGCGAACAGACGAGGAGCUUGCUCCUUCGACGUUAGCGGCGGACGGGUGAGUAACACGUAGGUAACCUACCUAUAAGACUGGGAUAACUUCGGGAAACCGGAGCUAAUACCGGAUAAUAUUUCGAACCGCAUGGUUCGAUAGUGAAAGAUGGCUUUGCUAUCACUUAUAGAUGGACCUGCGCCGUAUUAGCUAGUUGGUAAGGUAACGGCUUACCAAGGCAACGAUACGUAGCCGACCUGAGAGGGUGAUCGGCCACACGUGAACUGAGACACGGUCCAUACUCCUAAGAGAGGCAGCAGUAGGGAAUCUUAGGCAAUGGGCGGAAGCCUGACAGAGCAACGCCGAGUGUGUGAUGAAGGUCUUCGGAUCGUAAAACUCUGUUAUUAGGGGAGAACAAGCGUGUAAGUAACUGUGCACAUCUUGACGGUACCUAAUCAGAAAGCCACGGCUAACUACGUG